rnacentral:rRNA from 1 species
GACGAACGCUGGCGGCGUGCUUAACACAUGCAAGUCGAACGCUGAAGCUCAGCUUUUGUUGGGUGGAUGAGUGGCGAACGGGUGAGUAACACGUGAGUAACCUGCCCCCUUCUUUGGGAUAACGCCCGGAAACGGGUGCUAAUACUGGAUAUUCACUGGUCUUCGCAUGGGGGUUGGUGGAAAGGGUUUUUCUGGUGGGGGAUGGGCUCGCGGCCUAUCAGCUUGUUGGUGGGGUGAUGGCCUACCAAGGCUUUGACGGGUAGCCGGCCUGAGAGGGUGACCGGUCACGUUGGGACUGAGAUACGGCCCAGACUCCUACGCGAGGCAGCAGUGGGGACUAUUGCACAAUGGGCGCAAGCCUGAUGCAGCGACGCCGCGUGAGGGAUGGCGGCCUUCGGGUUGUGAACCUCUUUCGCUCAUGGUCAAGCCGCAACCAUGGUUGUGGUGAGGGUAGUGGGUAAAGAAGCGCCGGCUAACUACGUG